AGAAGUUUUUAUAACCAAACAAUUACUCUGGAUUUCUUUUAACUUAUUUAGGACCACAAAUUUCAAAAGUCUUUACUUUUUUUUAAACUCCGUGUCCACUCAAACUGCAUCACAUAAAUUGAAACGGGAGUACUGUUUUAGUUAAAUGGAUUUUCGUAACCUUUUAAAAGCAUUCCACUAUCUCAUACGUAUUGUUUUAUUCGACCUAACAAUCUUAUGUUCAUAGGUUGGCCGCUUUUAGAUGUCUAUUUCCUUUUCUUUCUUCUUUUCACCAACCCAUUGCUGUCUUACUUCCAAUUUCCAAAAGUGGAAACUCCUGUAGAAGUAACAAGUGCCCCCAAGAGAGUUGAAUUUUUCCCCGAUUAGCCCUUAACUCCUAAAGUGCGCAAAUAUUAAUUUAUUUUAGGAACAGAAAGACAAAGAAUCUUGAAUAAUAAUGCUUAAUUGGUAAGUAUUACUCUGACAUUUCUCCUUCCUUUACCACUUGCAAAUCAAGAGAGAACGUACUUAACUCACAGCUACCAAGCUUCAGAAGGGUUAAUUAAUAGUCUUAACCGUGUACUUAUAAGACCACAAACUGAACACAAUUAACAUAAAUAAUCUGCCACACCUCCUUUUUCCCGCAGGAUAGGGAUAGCGGAGUUUUUCCAAUUUAAGUGACAUUAAUCGAAUUGAGAUUAUUUGUUUAUUUUCAGAGUCGUCACUCGAAAUUAUUUAUUUACGGUGUUCCGAGUCACCAUUUAUUUUAAAAUCUCAAAUCGAGGAAGUUUUGACUCUGUUUUAAAGUCUGCAAAAACCAAAAAAUCGGGUAAGGAAUUCUGUUAACCCGGGAGAAGGUGUGAGGCACUCCCGAGUUUCGUGAUUCUAGCAUGGUCGCUUAACCAUUAAUAAUUGGCCUAAUUAUCUGAUUUAUUAUAAGUUUUAAACCUAUUGUGCAUUUUUAACCUUUUACCGCUUAUAAUUAUUUAUGGAAUUAUUUUGGAACAAGUCACGAUGUCGUACACUUGUCGUUUUGGUACACGUCGCAAACCGCGACACAUGAAAUGCACCCGCAAUUUACGACGUGUUUAUUUUAAUUAUUGUUUGAAGUUAUGGUCGGGUCACAUGAAAUCCACACCCGAAUGGGAUUUACGUAUUACGACUAUGCCACGGGAACCGUACCCAUAGUUUUGAUGAUUUAAUUACGCGCCUAAAGCAAACUACAAUGUUUAUGGAUUGUUAAUAUCUAGGUUUGAGAUAAAAACAUGAAGGUCAUUUGUUUUGGAUGGACUGCAGAUAUUCUCGCCUAAGUCCGCUGGGGGUGAUGAAUUGGUAAAAAGGAAAAACUCUUAUUAAGGAUUUCAACAUGGCCCAAGUAUAUAGGAUGGGCCUAAGACAGAUUCCAAAUUUGUAGGGCAUGGACUGAAGUUAUACUAAAAAAAGAUUCAUAGAAUCUUCAAUUUAUAAAUACAUCGUACUCAAAAAACCCUUCAGGGUCUGGCCCAAUUAUAUUAGCUUGACUAAAAUGAAACUGGCCAUCAUGACUAGCCCAAUAGCACAGGAAGAUUACAUUGCACAAAGAAGCAUUAAUUAAUAAUUUAAUAAGCAUGAGAAUUAGGAAAAAAAAAACUACUAGUUAACAGUUUAAUUAAUUACAAGUACUAAAGAGUUCGCAAGAAUUUCACACGAUGCUAAAUGUAGUAGGAUUUACAAAGUUUUUCCCUAAUAUUAAUCUACAUGCCAUUAAUGAAUUAAAAUAAACCGUGACAACCACUGUAAUUAUCACUUAAUAUAUCUAAACACAUAUUUCCAAAACUCAAUACAAUGGAGCUUAAGGUUACAACAAACUGUCCAUUAAUCAAAUUUUCCUAACAAGACAAAAAAAAAAACUAAAUGAAAUUGUCUAAAACUUUAUUAGAGCUGGUUCUAUUUCAGCUGAGCCCUCUCCCAUAGAAUCAAUCUCCUGGAUCUUACUCCAUUUGCCAGAUUCUCACCUUACAUGUUCCUGAUGCAAUCAUGACUUACUCUGAUUUACACAUGGGUUGCUGUGGGCUGAUUCCAUGUCCUUAACUCAAACAAUGCUCAAUGGUCACUACUCAAAAUGCCGUAAAUUUCAUAAUAACAAUUAGUUCAAUUGAAUGCAAAUAAACCAAGUCUAGAUCCAACUUUAUAAAGGUUAUGCAGAUUUAACUCAUUUCAAUCAUGAACUAAGCUUAUACAAAUAUCAUUUAGCUUGAAAUCAAUUAGCUAUACCUUAACUAACUAAAAAAAACACAGCAACAGAAUCAAUAAGCACAGCUAAACAGAAUUCACAGUAGCAUUUGAAAUAGAAUUCCAGCUUUCAUUAAAUAUCAAGUUCAACAUUUGAGGUUUCAGAAUAUACCUAGAUGCAGAAAACAGCACUUAACAAGACCAAAUAAAGGUCAGAAAACCAGAAGGGCAAAGCUCAGCAAUCCAAAAACAGCAGCAGCAAACAAAUAAUAACAAAGAACAGCUCCAGAAUCAAACUUCAAACUUGAGAUAUCUUAGGAAUUCUAUGUGUGUUUUUUCUACUAUUAAUGCAGGAAUUGAAAAGGAAAAUGCAAGAGUUUUCUAUUGAGAAUGCAGAGAAUUCAAUGUGUUUUCAAAUAAAUCAGUGUGUGUGUUAUGAAAGAAUGUGAGUGCCUUUAUAUAGAGCAGGGAUGUAAAGGGAUAGGAAUGAGAGGUAUUCCCUUAAAAUCAGGAAAUAGGCAUCUUCCAAAACAGAAAAAUGGACAGCUGUCCAAUUUCUGGC
rnacentral:lncRNA from 1 species